CNUGACNUGCAUUCGAUACGGUCGAGCUAGAGUGUGGUAGGGGAGACUGGGAUUCCUGGUGUAGCGGUGGAAUGCGCAGAUAUCAGGAGGAACACCGAUGGCGAAGGCAGGUCUCUGGGCCAUUACUGACACUGAGGAGCGAAAGCGUGGGGAGCGAACAGGAUUAGAUACCCUGGUAGUCCACGCCGUAAACGGUGGGCGCUAGUUGUGCGAACCUUCCACGGUUUGUGCGACGCAGCUAACGCAUUAAGCGCCCCGCCUGGGGAGUACGAUCGCAAGAUUAAAACUCAAAGGAAUUGACGGGGCCCCGCACAAGCAGCGGAGCAUGCGGCUUAAUUCGACGCAACGCGAAGAACCUUACCAAGGCUUGACAUAUACAGGAAUAUGGCAGAGAUGUCAUAGCCGCAAGGUCUGUAUACAGGUGGUGCAUGGUUGUCGUCAGCUCGUGUCGUGAGAUGUUGGGUUAAGUCCCGCAACGAGCGCAACCCUCGUUCUGUGUUGCCAGCAUUUAGUUGGGGACUCACAGGAGACUGCCGGGGUUAACUCGGAGGAAGGUGGGGAUGACGUCAAAUCAUCAUGCCCCUUAUGUCUUGGGCUGCACGCAUGCUACAAUGGCUGGUACAAACGGCUGCAAUACCGCAAGGUGGAGCGAAUCCGAGAAAGCCAGUCUCAGUUCGGAUUGGGGUCUGCAACUCGACCCCAUGAAGUCGGAGUUGCUAGUAAUCGUAGAUCAGCAACGCUACGGUGAAUACGUUCCCGGGGCUUGUACACACCGCCCGUCACAUCACGAAAGUCGGUAACACCCAAAGUCAGUGGCCCAACCGCAAGGA
rnacentral:rRNA from 1 species